AAAAUAUACUCGCCGGAAGAAGUAGAACCUGAGAUUCAAGCUUAUAGCCGGCAUGCAUCACCUGCCUAAAAUUCCAGCACCAAAAAGAUGUGAUAUUGUUAGGCAGAUUGGUGAUGCACUUAGAGCAAAACUUUACUACUUUGGCCGACUUGUUUCACUUGAAAUGGGGAAAAUACUACCCGAAAGAAUUGGGGAGGUUCAAGAAAUUAUUGACAUGUGUGACUUCGCUGUUGGUUUGAGCUGACAACUAAAUGGAUCAGUCAUACCAUUAGAACGCCCUAAUCAUGUGAUGUUGGAGGUGAAGUAGAUAACAGACCAUAAUUUUGGUAUUAUGUUUUUUUUUUUCUAUACUACACUUGAUGUUCCUUGUCUAUUCUUCAUGGACAGGUGUGGAAUCCUCUAGGGGUAGUUGGUGUUAUUACAGCUUUUAACGAGAAUUGAGAUUUCUUGAUGGUUUGCAA